rnacentral:tRNA from 1 species
ACCUUUGUGGUGAAAUGGUAGCACACUCGACGAGUAUUCGAGAGGUCCAGGUUCGAAUCCUAACAAGGCUG